GGGGGAAUGGUGUAGCUUGGUCUAGCAUCGGGGCUUUGGGAGCCUCAGACCUGGGUUCAAAUCCCAGUUCCCCCA
rnacentral:tRNA from 1 species